rnacentral:rRNA from 1 species
AGAUGGCGACCGGCGCACGGGUGAGUAACACGUAUCCAACCUGCCGAUAACUCGGGGAUAGCCUUUCGAAAGAAAGAUUAAUACCCGAUGGCAUAAUAGAACCGCAUGGUUUGAUUAUUAAAGAAUUUCGGUUAUCGAUGGGGAUGCGUUCCAUUAGGCAGUUGGUGGGGUAACGGCCCACCAAACCUUCGAUGGACAGGGGUUCUGAGAGGAAGGUCCCCCACAUUGGAACUGAGACACGGUCCAA